UACGUAGGGGGCAAGCGUUGUCCGGAAUCAUUGGGCGUAAAGCGCGUGUAGGCGGUUCAGUAAGUCUGCUGUGAAAGUCCAGGGCUCAACCCUGGGAUGCCGGUGGAUACUGCUGGGCUAGAGUACGGAAGAGGCGAGUGGAAUUCCCGGUGUAGCGGUGAAAUGCGCAGAUAUCGGGAGGAACACCUAUUGCGAAGGCAGCUCGCUGGGACGUUACUGACGCUGAGACGCGAAAGCGCGGGGAGCAAACAGG
rnacentral:rRNA from 1 species